rnacentral:misc_RNA from 1 species
GAUGAAGAACGUAGCGAAAUGCGAUAAGUAGUGUGAAUUGCAGAAUUCAGUGAAUCAUCGAAUCUUUGAACGCACAUUGCGCCCCUUGGUAUUCCAUGGGGCAUGCCUGUUCGAGCGUCAUCUACACCCUCAAGCUCCGCUUGGUGUUGGGCGUCUGUCCCGCUUCGCGCGCGGACUCGCCCCAAAGGUAUUGGCAGCGGUCGUGCCAGCUUCUCGCGCAGCACAUUGCGCUUCUCGAGGCACCGGUGGGCCCGCGUCCAUCAAGCUCACCCCCCCAGUUUGACCUCGGAUCAGGUAGGGAUACCCGCUGAACUUAAGCAUAUCAAUAAGCGGAGGA